UGCCCACCCAUUCAUGCAGUGCUGGGA
rnacentral:piRNA from 1 species